rnacentral:rRNA from 1 species
GGGUCAGUAGGUUGGUCAUGCCACUUGUACUGGUCUCACUGUUUCCUCCUUCCUGAUGAACUGUAAUGCCAUUAAUUUGGUGUUGCAGGGAAUCUGGACUGUUACUUUGAAAAAAUUAGAGUGCUUAAAGCAGGCUAUCGCCUGAAUACAUUAGCAUGGAAUAAUGAAAUAGGACGUUCGAUCCUAUUUUGUUGGUUUCUAGGAUUGACGUA